UUUAUGGAGAGUUUGAUCCUGGCUCAGGAUGAACGCUGGCGGCGUGCCUAAUACAUGCAAGUCGAGCGAACGGAUGAGAAGCUUGCUUCUCUGAUGUUAGCGGCGGACGGGUGAGUAACACGUGGAUAACCUACCUAUAAGACUGGGAUAACUUCGGGAAACCGGAGCUAAUACCGGAUAAUAUUUUGAGCCGCAUGGUUCAAAAGUGAAAGACGGUCUUGCUGUCACUUAUAGAUGGAUCCGCGCUGCAUUAGCUAGUUGGUAAGGUAACGGCUUACCAAGGCAACGAUGCAUAGCCGACCUGAGAGGGUGAUCGGCCACACUGGAACUGAGACACGGUCCAGACUCCUACGGGAGGCAGCAGUAGGGAAUCUUCCGCAAUGGGCGAAAGCCUGACGGAGCAACGCCGCGUGAGUGAUGAAG
rnacentral:rRNA from 1 species